AUAGACCUUGUGGAAGAUGAAAGUUGGUUACUCUCUAUGUCCCUGCUAUGUAAUUUCAGCUCCGGUGUGGAAAGCCGACCAUGGCAGACCCGCGGAGCAGAACAGAGCUGAAUCAUCAUCCGGAAUUCAACUUCUAAAAGACGGAUUACUGGCGUGGGCACCCCUGAAUCCCGGAGGUCUCAGUCCUAGCAGGGCAGAGCUCCUUUAAUGGGUCUUGGUUUCCUGCAGUAGUAAAUAAAAAAAUAUUCAUUAGCCAAGUG